rnacentral:rRNA from 1 species
CCUACGGGCGGUAGCAGUGGGGAAUAUUGGACAAUGGGCGAAAGCCUGAUCCAGCCAUGCCGCGUGUGUGAAGAAGGCCUUCGGGUUGUAAAGCACUUUCAGUGGGGAAGAAAGCCUUGGGGCUAAUACCCUCGAGGAAGGACAUCACCCACAGAAGAAGCACCGGCUAACUCCGUGCCAGCAGCCGCGGUAAUACGGAGGGUGCGAGCGUUAAUCGGAAUUACUGGGCGUAAAGCGCGCGUAGGCGGUCUGAUAAGCCGGUUGUGAAAGCCCCGGGCUCAACCUGGGAACGGCAUCCGGAACUGUCAGGCUAGAGUGCAGGAGAGGAAGGUAGAAUUCCCGGUGUAGCGGUGAAAUGCGUAGAGAUCGGGAGGAAUACCAGUGGCGAAGGCGGCCUUCUGGACUGACACUGACGCUGAGGUGUGAAAGCGUGGGUAGCAAACAGGAUUAGAUACCCCUGUAGUC